GGCGGCGUGCUUAACACAACUGGCAAAGUCGAAACGCGAAAAGGGGACUUCGGUCCUGAGUAAAGUGGCGCACGGGUGAGUAACGCGUGGAUAAUCUGCCCUUAUGAUUGGAAUAACAGUUGGAAACGGCUGCUAAUACCGGAUACGCUCAAAAUGAACUUUUUGAGGAAAGAUGGCCUCUGCUUGCAUGCUAUCGCAUAAGGAUGAGUCCGCGUCCCAUUAGCUUGUUGGCGGGGUAACGGCCCACCAAGGCAACGAUGGGUAGCCGAUUUGAGAGGAUGAUCGGCCACACUGGAACUGAAACACGGUCCAGACUCCUACGGGAGGCAGCAGUGGGGAAUAUUGCGCAAUGGGCGAAAGCUUGACGCAGCGACGCCGCGUGAGGGAUGAAGGUUUUCGGAUCGUAAACCUCUGUCAGAAGGGAAGAAACUACGUUGUGCUAAUCAGCAGCGUACUGACGGUACCUUCAAAGGAAGCACCGGCUAACUCCGUG
rnacentral:rRNA from 1 species